rnacentral:lncRNA from 10 species
AACGUGCAUUCUGGCGGUGCCGGGAGCGGGGCGAGGAGGAGGGUGGGUAUGAGGCGGUAGCGGACCGCGGAGUCGAGACCUACCCGAACGACGCGGGCGAGCGGGGCUUUGGACGCCGGUGGAGACGCAGGCGAGACUCCAGCGGGAGGAAGAAGAGGCCUUUGCCAGCAGUCAGAGCAGCCAAGGGGCCCAAUCCCUCACAUUCUCCAAGUUUGAAGGAAAGAAAACCAACAAGAAGACCCGCAAGGUUACCACAGUGAAGAAAUCUUCAGUACGUCUUCCAGGGUCGGAUCAAAGAAGGGCUGGAGUGCAAUGGCGCGAUCUCGGCUCACUGCAACCUCCACCUAUUGGGUUCAAGUGAUUCUCCUGCCUCAGCCUCCCAAUAGCUGGGAUUACAGAUAUUGAAAUGGAUUCCAGGCGUGUGCCUCGAGACAAGCUGGCCUGCAUCACCAAGUGCAGCAAGCACAUCUUCGAUGCCAUCAAGAUCACCUAGAACGAGCUGGCGUCAGCAGAUGACUUCCUCCCCACCCUCAUCUACAUUGUUUUGAAGGGCAACCCCCAUGCCUUCAGUCUAAUAUCCAGUAUAUCACGUGCUUCUGCAAUCCAAGCCGACUGAUGACUGGAGAGGAUGGCUACUAUUUCACCAAUCUGAGGCUGGGCACUCACUGCAGCUGGCUAAUGAUGACCAUGUGGACAUGCUUUCGGGCCUUCAGGAUCUUCUCCAGCCAGUGGAUGUCGUACGUGUUGGGGUUCCGGAAAGGGAUGUCAGGUGGUGGCUCACACCUGCGAUCCCAGCACUUUGGGAGGCCAAGGCGGGUGGAUCGCUUGAGCCCAGAAGAUCAAGACCAGUCUGGGCAACAUGGUGAAACCUCGUCUCUACUAAAAAUAGAAAAAUUAGCCGGGAGUGGUGGCGCACGCUUGUAGUCCCAGCUACUUGAGAGGCUGGGGCAGGAGGAUUGCCUAAGCCCAUGAGGUGGAGGCUGCAGUGAGCAGACAUUGCACCACUGUACUCCAGCCUGGGCAACAGAGUGAGACGCUG